UACAGAGGGUGCUAGCGUUGUUCGGAAUCAUUGGGCGUAAAGGGCGUGUAGGCGGUUUGUUAAGUCAUGUGUGAAAUCCCUCGGCUCAACCGGGGAACGACGCAUGAAACUGGCAGCUAGAGUACCAAAGAGGGGGGUGGAAUUCCCGGUGUAGCGGUGGAAAUGCGUAGAUAUCGGGAGGAACACCUGUGGCGAAGGCGGGCCCCCUGGUUGGAUACUGACGCUGAUACGCGAA
rnacentral:rRNA from 1 species